rnacentral:rRNA from 1 species
GACGAACGCUGGCGGCGUGCCUAAUACAUGCAAGUAGAACGCUGAAGAGAGGAGCUUGCUCUUCUUGGAUGAGUUGCGAACGGGUGAGUAACGCGUAGGUAACCUGCCUUGUAGCGGGGGAUAACUAUUGGAAACGAUAGCUAAUACCGCAUAACAAUGAGUGACACAUGUCAUUUAUUUGAAAGGGGCAAUUGCUCCACUACAAGAUGGACCUGCGUUGUAUUAGCUAGUAGGUGAGGUAACGGCUCACCUAGGCGACGAUACAUAGCCGACCUGAGAGGGUGAUCGGCCACACUGGGACUGAGACACGGCCCAGACUCCUACGGGAGGCAGCAGUAGGGAAUCUUCGGCAAUGGGGGCAACCCUGACCGAGCAACGCCGCGUGAGUGAAGAAGGUUUUCGGAUCGUAAAGCUCUGUUGUAAGUCAAGAACGAGUGUGAGAGUGGAAAGUUCACACUGUGACGGUAGCUUACCAGAAAGGGACGGCUAACUACGUGCCAGCAGCCGCGGUAAUACGUAGGUCCCGAGCGUUGUCCGGAUUUAUUGGGCGUAAAGCGAGCGCAGGCGGUUUGAUAAGUCUGAAGUUAAAGGCUGUGGCUCAACCAUAGUUCGCUUUGGAAACUGUCAAACUUGAGUGCAGAAGGGGAGAGUGGAAUUCCAUGUGUAGCGGUGAAAUGCGUAGAUAUAUGGAGGAACACCGGUGGCGAAAGCGGCUCUCUGGUCUGUAACUGACGCUGAGGCUCGAAAGCGUGGGGGAGCGAACAGG